UGACAGAUUUAAGGACCACACAGGUCAACUUCCUUUUGAAAGAAGAGUAAGGUAGCAGAGAAUUCAGUCCUCUCAGACAGAGAGGAAAAGAGAUUAUUCCUGCAAGUGCUUAGGUUAUACCUGGAGAGAUGAAAGAUUUAGGCACAUAUCCUCAGGCAAUUGAAAGAACUUAGAAAUCUCCGAAUUUGACUAAAUUUCUUAGAAAAGGUUAAGCAGUUUGGGCCCAUGACAAUGUUUAAAGAUUAAAAAAAAAAAUCAUUGUUGUAUAACUGAGUUCUAACUACAAAGUCCAUAUACAUUCUUUGGCUCAUUUCUUUUUUGGAAACUCUGGAUAAAGUUGGGUCAUAAUAAUCAAUAAUAAUGAAU
rnacentral:lncRNA from 1 species